GAGGAGAGGAGGUGACGAGGAGAGGAGAGGAGGUGACGAGGAGAGGAGAGGAUGCCAGACGUCAACAGGAAGUCUCUCUGAUGCAAAUGAGCAGAGCAGAGGAAAGGUGGUCCAGAGGAGAUGAGAAGGGACGGAAGAAGCCUUAAAAUGCUGGACUGAACUUCAGAAGCUGCCAGAAGUGAAACUCAUCUCACCACGAUGACUUUUGACACAACCAAACAGUAAACAUGUGUUCCCAAUAAAAAGUCCAAACGAG